GACGAACGCUGGCGGCGUGCUUAACACAUGCAAGUCGAGCGGUAAGGCUCCUUCGGGAGUACACGAGCGGCGAACGGGUGAGUAACACGUGAGCAAUCUGCCCUUCACACUGGGAUAACCCCCGGAAACGGGAGCUAAUACCAGAUACGACCACUUCGGGCACCCGAUGGUGGUGGAAAGUUCCGGCGGUGAAGGAUGGGCUCGCGGCCUAUCAGCUUGUUGGGGCGGUAAGGGCCAUCCAAGGCUUCGACGGGUAGCCGGCCUGAGUGGGUGACCGGCCAGGCUGGGACUGAGACACGGCCCAGACUCCUACGGGAGGCAGCAGUGGGGAAUAUUGGACAAUGGGCGAAAGCCUGAUCCCGCAACGCCGCGUGAGGGAUGACGGCCUUCGGGUUGUAAACCUCUUUCAGCAGGGACGAAGCGAAAGUGACGGUACCUGCAGAAGAAGGACCGGCCAACUACGUGCCAGCCGCCGCGGUAAUAC
rnacentral:rRNA from 1 species